AUGAAGGAUCUCACUAUUCUCAUUGCACCAGGCAGGGCCACCAUGCAGAGCCCAGGGCUUCAAAACUCUCAGCCAGCUGCUCACCCCUUGUUUCCUGAACUGGAGCUGCAUGUUUUCAGAGUGACUGACGAGAAGCCACACCUCUCCCAUCACCAGCCCUUGGAACCUGCAGAAAGAAAUGUCAAAUGGGAAGACCUUGCAUGUGCUGGCUUUUGGCAUUCGCCUGUUUCUUUUCACAGCCAACGAACCCGCACUGAGCACCGUCUGUGUGCCCUGAGAAACACAUUGGGAAAUGGAUAUUCUAGAAGAGUUCUCCAACAACCAUUUCUUGGAAUUGUAAAUGUCUGAGGGCUGCUGCAAUACUUCGGAUUAUCUUGUUUUCUUGAUCCGUGGAAGCCAAGAUUUUAAUGCUACAUCUGUGUGAGUAUCUUUUGAUAAUAAGAACCAAAUGUUGUCGGUGGAAAUGACUGGAAAUUACACUUAGGAUCAGAAUGUGGGGUUUUAGAUUCCCUCUUGGAAGGCAGUGCUGAGAAACAAACACAAGGGACAUUUUCCCUAUAAAUCACUCAGGAUGUUGCAACACUCAAGGCUCCUGCCUGCUCUCUCCAGGCAUCGGGAAGCCUGGGAUGGAGCACCCUGGGUGAAAGUAGUCCACUGGUCAGUAGUAAAUAUCCUAUAGCUCAAAUUAAACCUCCAGUUCCCGUCUCCCCUCUAAAUUCUUUCUUAUUUUUUCUAGACGGAGUCUCACUCUGUUGCCCAGGCUGAGUGCAGUGGCGCGAUCUCGGCUCACUACAGCCUCCGCCUCCCAGGUUCAAGCAAUUCUCCUGUCUCAGCCUCCUGAGUAGCUGGGACUACAGGUGCAUGCCACCACGCCUGGCUAUUUUUUGUAUUUUUUAAAUAGAGAUGCGGUUUCACCAUAUUGGUCAGGCUGGUCUCGAACUCCUGUCCUCAGGUGAUCCACUCACCUCGGCCUCCCAAAGUGCUGCGAUUACAGACAUGAGCCACUGUGCCCGGCCAGUUCCUUCUUUUUCUGCUGCUAGAAAGCUUCACCUGGCUGUCCCACAGGCACGUCCAAAAUGAACUCAUCAUUUUCCCCAAACCUGCAGACUCCACAUUGAUGAAAGACACCACCUGGCCCUGGGAGAGAAACCUGGGAACCAUUCCUGAUCCUCCUCGCCGUGCUGCCCCCACAUCAGUCAAGUCCUGGCCCUUCUCUCUCUCACUUAGCUCCCCCUUGGCACCGGUCCUGGUUUGGGGUCCUCCUGCAGAGCUCGGGCCAUUGCUUCAGCCUCCUCUUGCCAGCCCCCAGCGGUCGGCCUCCCACUCCUCCAAUCUCACCUCCAGCCAAAGUAAUCUUUGGAAAAACCCAGCUCCCACUUGGCCAUGGCUCUUCUUGAGAACUAAAUUGGAACCUGAAUGCAUCAGUUUUCUCUACUUGAACUCCACCUUCACAUGAAAACAUAAAUGACAUCCACAGAAACUCAGAUCUAGGAUUUAGGAAAAGGCGGUAGGGAACUUCCAGGAACUGCUCUGAGACCAGGGCACUCAGGGUGCAGACGGUCCCCCUUCCUUCUGUCCACUAUGUCCUGAACAAUGGAACUGAUGGUCUGGUGGCAGGAUCUGGUACCUGUGCUGGGCAGGGCCCAGGACAUAGAGAUGACCCAGAGGCAGUCCCUGCAGUGAGGGGCUCUGAGGAUGGGUCGUUGAGAAUGACUGAAAGGGGAGGGGCCAGACAGGGGCAGAGCCAGCUUGAGAAGCACCCUGGAAGGCAGGCCAAGAGCUGGAUCCAUGCCCGUGGGCUGGGGGUGAUGGCAGAGCAUUAGCAGGACACGGAAUGGGUGGUGCUGGGCUUUCGAGCAAUCCAGCUGAAGGCCACAAGCUCACCUAUACCCCGUUCCAAAUCUUCGCUUGUGGCUUGGGCUUUGCACUUGGGAAUCAGGCUGAAGGACAGAGACCACCCUGGGCCCCACCAUCCCUCAGCUAGAACUGCUUCUUAGGCUUGCGCCAGCAUCUCCACAGUGUUGGGAGGCCUUCCUGUUGCAGUUUCUGAUUAAUAACAGAUUUUAUGUGCAUUUGAUUUCUUCCUGAGAGUUUCUGAUUAAUAACAGAUUUUAUGUGCAUUUGAUUCAUUUUGCUUUUUAGAGGGCCU
rnacentral:lncRNA from 1 species